rnacentral:rRNA from 1 species
GCCUACGGGGCGCAGCAGUAGGGAAUAUUGCACAAUGGGCGCAAGCCUGAUGCAGCAACGCCGCGUGCGCGAUGAAGGCCUUCGGGUUGUAAAGCGCUUUUCGGGGAGAUGAGGAAGGACAGUAUCCCCGGAAUAAGGCUCGGCUAACUACGUGCCAGCAGCCGCGGUAAAACGUAGGAGCCAAGCGUUAUCCGAAUUCACUGGGCGUAAAGCGUGUGCAGGCGGGCUCGUAAGUUGGAUGUGAAAUCUCCUGGCUCAACUGGGAGAGGCCGUUCAAUACUGUGAGCCUCGAGGGCAACAGAGGGAGGUGGAAUUCCCGGUGUAGUGGUGAAAUGCGUAGAUAUCGGGAGGAACACCAGUGGCGAAAGCGGCCUCCUGGGUUGCACCUGACGCUCAGACACGAAAGCUAGGGGAGCGAACGGGAUUAGAUACCCGAGUAU